rnacentral:rRNA from 1 species
GACGAACGCUGGCGGCGUGCUUAACACAUGCAAGUCGAGCGGAGCGGCGAACGGGUGAGUAACGCGUGAGUAACUGCCCCCCUCUCUGGGGUAACAGUUGGAAACGGCUGCUAAUACCGGAUAGUGGGGGAUGACUCGCGUCUAAUCAGCUUGUUGGUGGGGUAGUGGACUACCAAGGCGACGACGGGUCGCCGGCCUGAGAGGGCGACCGGCCUCAUUGGGCUAAGAUACGGCGCAGAGUCCUACGGGGGGCAGCGGUGGGGAAUAUUGCACAAUCGUGGAAACCGUGAUGCAGCAACGCGCGGGCGGGAUGACGGCUUUCGGGUUGGAAACCGCUUGCAGCUAAUACGCGGUAGUGGCAGAAGAAGCACCGGCUAACUACGUGCCAGCAGCCGCGGUAAUUC